UUUUUUUUUUUUUUUUCGGUGAAAGCCUAAUUCAACGGAACGCACGCAUAAAAGCUUAUACGCACUUCUACCUCGUACAAAAUUAAUGUGAUUUUUAUGAAUUUUUUAUUUUUCUUUUUUCAUUCCUCAUUUUUCAUUGCUCAUUUCUCAUUUUUCAUUGCUCAUUUCUCAUUUUUCAUUGCUUAUUUCUCUUCUUUUUUUUUUUUUUCACUUUUUUUUAAAUCAUCAACUUUAUUAGCCCUUUUAAAUAUAUAUAUAUAUAUAUAUGUACUUACAGUCUCACGCGUGUUUGUCAAUAUCCCCAUUUUAAUUAUGUUUGUUUAUAUUUAUUUUUUUUUACUUAUUUAUUAUAACACUUAUUUUUUUUUCCUAGGUAAUAUAAUUGACGAUUAUAUUUUUCGCAAUUUUUUUCAGUUAAUAUAUAUAUAUAUAUAUAUAUGUAAGUAUGUAUAUAUACAGAAAACACAAACUCAGAAAAUAUGUCAAACGAACAUGUUGAAGAAAUGAUUGAACAAUCUUUAAAAUCAGGAGAUACAAAUGAGCAUCCUUAUUUUUUACAACAAAAUAAUAUUUACUGGGAAACAGGUCAUAGGACCUACAUCCCUUUUUUCCAUUUUUUAAUACACAAAUAUACUAAUAAAAUAAUAGACGACCAAAUAAGAAAAUUUACGCACAGUGUAAAAAGUGUUCACCACACCCCCUUUGUAUUUCAUAAAGAUGGUUAUUUUCGAAGCUACUAUGCAGACCCUGAUAUUAAUAUAGUUUUUAAUUUAAAAAAAAAUACAAACUUUGUUUUUAAUUCUACUGGUAAUAACAGUUCAUAUAAUAUGUUGACUAAUAAUUCCACAUAUGAUAAACCUACUUACAUAUUUAAUGAAAUUCUUAUGAGUGCAUUUAAAUUAGAUGUAAAAAACAUUCUAGAAAAUACCGUAUAAUCAAUAUACAAAGAAUAAGAACGCACAAAAAAAAAGUAUCUAUAUACGUACAUAUAUAUAUAUAUAUAUAUAUUACAGAUGUAUCUAUAUGUACAUAAUAUUAUAGAUGUAUCUAUAUAUGUUAAUAGAAUAGCUUUUUUUGGAAAAAAAUAUAUAAUAAUAUAUUUUAAUUAGGUACACAUUAUUGGACAAAAAAAAAAAAAAAAAAAAAAAAAAAAAAAAAAAGGGAAUUAUAUAGUUAAUUAAAGGCAACUAAAUGAUUAAUUAAAUGUAAUUUAAAGAAUGUAAGAAAAGUAUUUAUUAUUAGAACAUUUGUUUAUAUUAGCGCAUAUGUAUGUAUCUAUAUAUGUGCACAUGUUUGAACAUAGACAUACUAUUUUUUUUUUUUUUUUUUUUUCAUUUUUUUUUUAUUAUUGUUUAUGAACAUAUUAUAUAUAAAUUUCCAAAACCUGUUGAAGUAGUUACAUUUGUAUUGACCUUUGAAAUAAUACCAUAUAUUAAGAAGAAAACGUGUAAAUAUACAUACACACAUAUAUAUAUAUAUAUAUAUAUAUAUCCUUGUUUUGUGCUUAAAUUAUAUUUAAGAAAACUAAACGCCUAUAUCAUACUCCUUUUUUAUUAAUUCAUUAUUUUUUUAGCAACUUUCUUUUGCUAUUUAUUUUUAUUGUUUUUUAAAUCAAUUUUAUUUUUUUUUAAAACAUUAAGUAUAGAAAGAACUGGAAUUAUUCAAUUAAAAUAAGUUAUAACAAUGUUUAGUAUAAACAUACAUCCAUAUAU
ensembl:lncRNA